UACCUUAAAUAUAAUUAAUGCGUCAUUGGUGGCUAACAUUUACUUUUUUCUUGUUCAGGUGUGGUAGCAGUAAAUGAAGGCUCAUCAUCUUUACCAAAAGUAGUUGAAGAAGCUAGAAGUCUCCCCGGCACAUACAGAUAUCAAACCUACGCCGUCCAAUUCCACCCAGGAGGUGGAACAAACACAGAAGCGUAAAGGUUCGAUUAUGAAGCAAUUAAGUUCAAAGGGAAGGAAAUUCGUUAAGAACGUGAUGAAUAUUGCGUCAUCAAGUUUGGGUCAGACAAGUGAAGAAAGACUUUCACAAACUAAAUCCUAUGGAAGUAACGAGCAGUUGAUUAAGAAUUUCGACCUGCUUAACAAACGGGCACAGACUGUGCUAAUGCAAUUAAAGCAAUGCCGCAACAACAAAAUGGCCAGAAGGUUCACGAUGAAGGAAAAACUUAUGGCUCUAAUGCUGAUGAAGCAAAGCCCAAAGGCAUAGAAACUCCUGGAAAACAUAAGAGGACAUUACAUAGACUUUCUGAAAAAAUAUGUAUGAAACCAGGAGUUAACGCACAGAUAUUUUCUCAUAUUCGAAAUACCGUGAAACACUGGGGACAACAGCAAAAGUUAUGCUCAAUAGUAUUUGAUGAAAUUGCAUUGACACCGUACUUAACAUACAAUGAAAGUAACGAUCUAAUUCAUGGUUUUGUGGAUGUGGCUGGCGAAAGGAAUAUGAAGUUUUGUGAUCAUGCCAUGGUCUUUAUGGUAAGAGGCAUAUGUUUUUCAUGGCGACAAUGUAUAUCAUACCACUUCUGCGAAGGAACAACAUCUACAGCCGAAAUGCAGGAAAUUUUAAAGCAAAU